rnacentral:piRNA from 2 species
CCAUUUUACAGAUAUGAAAGCUGAGGUUGU